GCAGAUCUUCCUAUCAGGACCCAGGACUCGCAGAGCUCCUCCUCUCAAACCAGGGAUCACAACCUGGAACAGACAGAUGCCUUGUUCCUGCUCUGGCCCUGCCAUGGGUCCUGGGCUUCUCCGCUGCAUAACCCUGUGUCUCCUUGUAGCAAGUGAGUCCUGAGCGGAAAGGAAAUCUUUGGCUAAGGGUAUCUUCUGCUCAGCUCUCUGUCCUUCAUUUCAUGGUCUCCUCCUUAACUCACUCCACCUUUUUCUUUCUGUGCAGGUCCUGUGAGUGCUAUGGUCAUGUAGAACCCAAGAUACCAGAUUACCAGGGUGGGGAAGCCAGUGACCCUGAAUUGUUCUCAGACUCUGAAUCAUGAUACCAUGUACUGGUACCAACAGAAACCAAGCCACGCACCAAAGCUGUUGCUCUACUACUACGAUGAUCAAUUGAAUAAGCAAACAGACACUUCAGAUAACUUCCAAGCUAGCCGGCCUAAAACUUCUUUGUGUUCCCUUGACAUCCGCUCAGCUGGCCUGGAGGACUCAGCAGUGUACCUGUGUGCCAGCAGCAGAGACACAGAGGCACAGGGUUA
rnacentral:lncRNA from 1 species